rnacentral:rRNA from 1 species
UACGUAGGGGGCUAGCGUUGUCCGGAUUUAUUGGGCGUAAAGAGCGUGUAGGCGGCCAGAUAGGUCUGCUGUGAAAACUCGAGGCUCAACCUCGAGACGUCGGCGGAAACCAUCUGGCUAGAGUCCGGAAGAGGAGAGUGGAAUUCCUGGUGUAGCGGUGAAAUGCGCAGAUAUCAGGAAGAACACCCGUGGCGAAGGCGGCUCUCUGGGACGGUACUGACGCUGAGACGCGAAAGCGUGGGGAGCGAACAGG